rnacentral:rRNA from 1 species
UACAGAGGGUGCAAGCGUUGUUCGGAAUUAUUGGGCGUAAAGAGCGUGUAGGCGGUUAGGUAGGUCCGUUGUGAAAACUCGAGGCUCAACCUCGAGACGCCGAUGGAAACCAUCUGACUAGAGUCCGGAAGAGGAGAGUGGAAUUCCUGGUGUAGCGGUGAAAUGCGCAGAUAUCAGGAAGAACACCCGUGGCUAAGGCGGCUCUCUAGUACGUGACUGACGCUGAGACGCGAAAGCGUGGGGAGCGAACAGG